rnacentral:lncRNA from 1 species
GUAUCUUCUAAGGGGGAAUAGCAGCCUGCAAGAACCACUUGUUUAAUAAUUCAGAAUCAACCUCUAAUAUAAUAUUAGUGUAACCAUGUUGUAUACACCAAUUUAAACCAAAACUGGCAGCCUGAACCUUUGCUUGGUUGUUUGUUCCUUCACCAAAAGGUACAACAAAAGCAUAUACUAUAUUCCCUUGAUAAUCUCUUAAAAUGCCCUCACCCUCCUAUUUUUCCGGGAUUAUGUAAAGCACUACCAUCUUUAUUUAAC